GCCCUUUGUCCCUUAAGCAACAGGACCCUGUUGUCUCUAAACUUCAGGAUAGAAAUGACUCUGGGGAGCUCCCCCAUGCCUCCCUCUGGGUUACAGACACCUCUGCUGGCGCCCUCUCUCGUCCCCGUCGCGAGCCCCCGCCUCCUUUCUCAGGAAGCUUGGGUCUCCCUGGGAGCGUGUCUGCCCUUGGGGGAGGCCUGUCGACUCGGCGCCCUGCAGCCCGACGGACAUUCGGGGCGGAUCGAAGAGGGGCUCGGCGCCCCCUGCGUGCACCUGUGCUAGCCCGGGCAGGAGGGAGCGCCUCCGCGGAGGAGUCCAGGAAGAGGGGGCAGGGAGAGGCGCUCCAGAACCUCGGUCCCGGGCGCCCUGGUCGGCCGCGGUGGAGCUGCAGCUUCCAACAGUGUCUGCCUCUGAAAAAGGAAGAAAAAUUUUAAAUGAGCCUGCUGAUGGGCCAACACAGCAUGGAAUGGAAAACUCAGCCAUAAAGGAAGGGACUCCCCUACAUCCAGUCUCACAGCCUGUAAGGGGAAAGCAGAGAUAAGCUUUAGAAGGUGACUCCAUAGGUGAGGAAGGUACGUCUUCCAAUGAUUUCUCACGUGUGUGUGUGUGUGUGUGUGUG
ensembl:lncRNA